UGGUAGUAUGAAUAAAAAAAUAAUGGGCGAAUGCAAUAUUUAUACAGUUGGUAUGCACUACUGCAGUUAUGUUAUUGUUUAUAUUUUGGUGAGGAAAACUUUAUAUUGCAGGAGUUUGUUAGAAUUUAUUGAGAAAACUGACUUUGUCGCUAUGGCACGCAAGUAUUGUCGUGUAGUGGGUGGCCGGCUCUAUAAAAAUUAUGACAAAAAAAACAUUAGACAGAGCCAUAGAUGAUGUUGUACAGAAGAGAUUUAGCCAACGGACAGCAUCAAAAAACUGAAGAAUGUUCACACCAAGACACCAGGUGGUCAAAGAGUUUUUAAUGAACUGGAGGAACAGUCAUUUGUUGACCAUCUAAUAAAGUUGUCAGAGUUUGGUUUUCCAGUCAAUGAAAGUGAUUUUCGAUGGACUGUGAGUAAUUAUCUACAGCGUAAAAGUGUGACAGUGAAAAAAUUUAAAGAUAACACACCAGGAUCGUGAAUGGUCCACCAGGAGCCAGAUACAACUGCACAAAAAGUGGGGGUUUGAUGCUGUUGUGUUUGAGGACUGGUUUUGUAGUCUGUUUCUCCUCAGCGUGCGUCAUUUACAAGGAGAAAUUGCUCUCAUUGGAGACAACUUUUCCUCUCACAUUAGCACACAAGUGUUGCAAAUUUGCCAGGAAAAAAGAAUCAAGUUCAUUUGUCUGCCGCCUAAUGCAAUCCACUUUCUCCAGCCAUUGGGUGUAAGUUUCUGUGCACCAUUGAAAAGAGCUUGAUCACUUUUAUCGUCUUGGCGUGACUCUGCUGAAGGGUCAAAAUUCCCAAAUAUUCCAAAGGAUAAACUGUCCAGUCUCCUGAAGUCAUUGAUGGAGCAGAUUGAACAGAACAAAGAAGAAAAUUUAGUUUCAGGAUUCAGGAAGUGCGGCAUUGUUCCUGUUGAAAAGAUGUAAUAUUGGCACGGUUACCAAAUGAAGAGGAAAAUUCUUCUCUCAUUGGAGAAGCUUUCAUGGCAUCACUUACUGCUCAUAGGAACAGGGUGAUAGGUGGUGAUGCACCUAGGCAGAAAAGGAAGAAACUAAAUGUUCCUGCAGGAAGGAGCAUUAGUGUAGGGGAUGUUGCCCAGUCAUCAGUUAAUGAACCACCUAAACUGAAGACAUGCAAACAUAAUCAACGACAGAAGACCCCAACAUUUCAUGAAGAAUCGUCUUCAGACAUUGAUGGAAAUCAUGAGGAUAUUGUCGUCAAUGAUUCAGAUAGCAAUCUAGAGACAUUUUCCAACUCAGGUGAUGACUCCGUAAUCAUUAUAACCGCGAAUCUCUGAAAUCUGUGUGCAGCAGCAACGAUUUUGUCAUUAUUACAUACAACUCACAAUAUCCAGGAAAGAUUGUUGACAUCACUGAAGCUGGUCCAACAGUAGAUUGCAUGGAGCAGGGGAAGAAUUACUGGCAUUGGCCUCAGAAACGUGACAUCUGGACGUAUGAAUGGGAGCAUAUUGUGAAGAAAAUCGAACCUACAGGCACGUUUCUGUCAAAAGAAACACUGUUCGUAGUUCCAGAGUUGAGUUUUAUGUUUAAUAAUAAAUUAUAUUAAAUUUGUUUUGUUAAUAUGUUAGAUAAUAUUCUUCUUUUGUUAAUGUGUUCAAUCCAAGUUUACAAUAGAAAUAAAUUUUGUUCAUAGUAAAGAA